rnacentral:rRNA from 1 species
GACGAACGCUGGCGGCGUGCCUAAUACAUGCAAGUCGAACGCUUUUUCUUUCACCGGAGCUUGCUCCACCGAAAGAAAAAGAGUGGCGAACGGGUGAGUAACACGUGGGUAACCUGCCCAUCAGAAGGGGAUAACACUUGGAAACAGGUGCUAAUACCGUAUAACACUAUUUUCCGCAUGGAAGAAAGUUGAAAGGCGCUUUUGCGUCACUGAUGGAUGGACCCGCGGUGCAUUAGCUAGUUGGUGAGGUAACGGCUCACCAAGGCAACGAUGCAUAGCCGACCUGAGAGGGUGAUCGGCCACACUGGGACUGAGACACGGCCCAGACUCCUACGGGAGGCAGCAGUAGGGAAUCUUCGGCAAUGGACGAAAGUCUGACCGAGCAACGCCGCGUGAGUGAAGAAGGUUUUCGGAUCGUAAAACUCUGUUGUUAGAGAAGAACAAGGAUGAGAGUAAAAUGUCAUC